AAGUCGUAACAAGGUCUCCGUUGGUGAACCAGCGGAGGGAUCAUUACAGAGUUGCAAAACUCCCAAACCAUUGUGAACGUCACCUAAUCGUUGCUUCGGCGGGGGGCUCUUAACCGGGCCGCGCCUGAGCCCCCUAGGGGGCCGGGCAGCCCGCCGGAGGCGUACCAACUCUCGAUAUCUUAUGGCAUCUCUGAGUAGCUUACAAAAUAAGUUAAAACUUUCAACAACGGAUCUCUUGGUUCUGGCAUCGAUGAAGAACGCAGCGAAAUGCGAUAAGUAAUGUGAAUUGCAGAAUUCAGUGAAUCAUCGAAUCUUUGAACGCACAUUGCGCCCGCUAGUAUUCUGGCGGGCAUGCCUGUUCGAGCGUCAUUUCAACCAUCAAGCCCUUGGCUUGUGUUGGGGGCCUGCGGCUGCCGCAGCUCCCGAAAUGCAGUGGCGGGCUCGUUGUCACACCGAGUGCAGUAAUUAUUCUUCUCUCCGGGCGUGGCGGCGGGUUCCGGCCGUGAAACCAUCAAACUUAUCAAGGUUGACCUCGGAUCAGGUAGGAAUACCCGCUGAACUUAAGCAUAUCAAUAAGCGGAGGAAAAGAAACCAACAGGGAUUGCCCUAGUAACGGCGAGUGAAGCGGCAACAGCUCAAAUUUGAAAUCUGGCUUCGGCCCGAGUUGUAAUUUGCAGAGGAAGCUUCUGGUGCGGCACUGUCCGAGUCCCCUGGAACGGGGCGCCAUAGAGGGUGAGAGCCCCGUAUGGAUGGAUGCUUAUCCUGUGUGAAGCUCCUUCGACGAGUCGAGUAGUUUGGGAAUGCUGCUCAAAAUGGGAGGUAAAUUCCUUCUAAAGCUAAAUACCGGCCAGAGACCGAUAGCGCACAAGUAGAGUGAUCGAAAGAUGAAAAGCACUUUGAAAAGAGGGUUAAACAGCACGUGAAAUUGUUGAAAGGGAAGCGCUUGUGACCAGACUUGCGCCAGGCUGAUCAUCCGGUGUUCUCACCGGUGCACUCUGCCUGGCUCAGGCCAGCAUCGGUUUUCGCGGGGGGACAAAGGUCCCGGGAAUGUAGCUCCUCCGGGAGUGUUAUAGCCCGGGGCGUAAUGCCCUCGCGGGGACCGAGGUUCGCGCAUCUGCAAGGAUGCUGGCGUAAUGGUCAUCAGCGACC
rnacentral:rRNA from 1 species